rnacentral:rRNA from 1 species
UGUGAGGCAUCUCCGGGUAGGGCGCCGGCCUAAGUUCCUUGGAACAGGACGUCACAGAGGGUGAGAAUCCCGUGCUUGGCUGGCUGUCCCCGUCCAUGUGAGGUGUCUUCGACGAGUCGAGUUGUUUGGGAAUGCAGCUCAAAAUGGGUGGUAAAUUUCAUCUAAAGCUAAAUAUUGGUGGGAGACCGAUAGCGCACAAGUAGAGUGAUCGAAAGAUGAAAAGCACUUUGAAAAUAGAGUUAAAAAGUACGUGAAAUUGUUGAAAGGGAAGCGCUUGAGAUCAGACUUCGGUAAGGGGUGAUCAGCCGUCCUUCUGGGCGGUGCACUUGCCCCCCUCCGGGCCAGCAUCGGUUGAGGCGGCGGGAUAAAGGUCCCGGGAAUGUGGCUCCUUCACGGGAGUGUUAUAGCCCGGGUGAAUGCCGCCAGCUUCGACCGAGGACCGCACCCGCAAGGGUUAGGAUGCUUGGCAUAAUGGUCUUCAGCGAC